rnacentral:rRNA from 1 species
AUUGAACGCUGGCGGCAUGCCUUACACAUGCAAGUCGAACGGCAGCACGGGAGCUUGCUCCUGGUGGCGAGUGGCGAACGGGUGAGUAAUACAUCGGAACGUACCCUGAAGUGGGGGAUAACGUAGCGAAAGUUACGCUAAUACCGCAUAUUCUGUGAGCAGGAAAGAGGGGGAUCGCAAGACCUCUUGCUUUAGGAGCGGCCGAUGUCGGAUUAGCUAGUUGGUGAGGUAAAGGCUCACCAAGGCGACGAUCCGUAGCGGGUCUGAGAGGAUGAUCCGCCACACUGGGACUGAGACACGGCCCAGACUCCUACGGGAGGCAGCAGUGGGGAAUUUUGGACAAUGGGCGCAAGCCUGAUCCAGCCAUGCCGCGUGAGUGAAGAAGGCCUGGUGUAAGCACUUCUAGCGAGGAGGAAA